rnacentral:rRNA from 1 species
CUACUGGGGUUUCUAAUCCUGUUUGCUCCCCACGCUUUCGCGCCUCAGCGUCAAUGUUUGGCCAGGCAGGCGCCUUCGCCUCUGGUGUUCCACCUAAUCUCUACGAAUUUCACUUCUCCACUAGGUAUUCCCCCACCCUCUCCAACAUUCAAGUCUCGCAGUUUCGGCUGCAGUUCCUAGGUUGAGCCCAGGGCUUUCACAAUCGACAUACGAGACCGCCUACGCGCGCUUUACGCCCAGUGAUUCCGAGUAACGCUUGCACCUUUCGUAUUACCGCGGCUGCUGGCAC